ACGAACGCUGGCGGCGUGCUUAACACAUGCCAGUCGAACGGUGAAGCGCCUUCCUUUUUGGUGGGUGUGGAUGAGUGGCGAACGGGUGAGUAACACGUGAGUAACCUGCCCCCUUCUUCUGGAUAACCGCAUGAAAGUGUGGCUAAUACGGGAUAUUCUGGGUCUGUCGCAUGAUGGGUCUGGGAAAGAUAUUGUUUCGGUGGGGGAUGGGCUCGCGGCCUAUCAGCUUGGUGGUGGGGUGAUGGCCUACCAAGGCGGUGACGGGUAGCCGGCCUGAGAGGGUGGACGGUCACACUGGGAGUGAGACACGGACGAGACUCCUACGGGAGGCAGCAGUGGGGAAUAUUGCACAAUGGGCGCAAGCCUGAUGCAGCGACGCCGCGUGAGGGAUGGAGGCCGUCGGGUUGUGAACCUCUUUCGCCAGUGAAGCAGGCCUGCCUCGUUUGUGGGUGGGUUGACGGUAGCUGGAUAAGAAGCGCCGGCUAACUACGUG
rnacentral:rRNA from 1 species